rnacentral:rRNA from 1 species
CCCGCACAAGCGGAGGAGCAUGUGGUUAAUUCGAUGAUACGCGAGGAACCUUACCUGGGCUCGAACGUAAGAUGACUGUAGGUGAAAGCUUACAUCUCUUCGGAGCAUUUUACGAGGUGCUGCAUGGUUGUCGUCAGCUCGUGCCGUGAGGUGUCGGGUUAAGUCCCAUAACGAGCGCAACCCCUACCUUUAGUUGCCAUCAGGUUAAGCUGGGGACUCUAAAGGAACUGCCUACGCAAGUAGUGAGGAAGGCGGGGAUGACGUCAAAUCAGCACGGCCCUUACGUCCAGGGCUACACACGUGCUACAAUGGCCGAUACAGAGGGCAGCUACCUGGUGACAGGAUGCAAAUCUCCAAAGUCGGUCUCAGUUCGGAUCGGAGUCUGCAACCCGACUCCGUGAAGUUGGAUUCGCUAGUAAUCGCGCAUCAGCCAUGGCGCGGUGAAUACGUUCCCGGGCCUU